CAGCAGUCUGCUUCUACUGGUUGCAUUUUGAAGUCCUCUUCUGUUUUGUCUCAUGUCAAGCGUUCUGAGAUCGCUGAUUCUGUUGUUCCAAUUAAGUCUGUUUUUCGGAGAUUAAGUUUUCCAGUGACCAACGAUGGCAAGAAAAAGGCAAAUGAUUCUGCUGGUUUUUCUGUUCCAAUUAAGACAGUUUUUGAGAGGCUUAAAUUUCCGGCGAUCUCGGCUGGUAAGGAAAAGAUCAGUAAGGAUAAUUCGGGAGUGUUUAGUCAGGGAAAAGAAAGAUCUGAUCCAAAGUUAAAUCUGAAUUCUGCUUCUUUGGUUCUUUCUAAUCCGAAUUCUUCUUCUUGCGAGCGUUGUUUGAGGCAUGAUCAUAGGGAAUUUGAAUGCACAAAUAGAGUUAAAUGUGCUCGGUGUUUUAAAUUGGAUCAUAGGGCUGCUUCUUGCUGGAAUAAAAAGGCGACCCAAGUCUGGAGGCCCAAAAUGAAAGGCCCAUUGCCCUCUAUUUUGGCGGUUGAUUCUGAGAAGGUUUUUUCCAAGGGGAAAAAAGUGAUUUCCCGCGAUUCUAUAGGAAUCCAAUCGUCGUCUUCGCUACAGUUUCCUUCUAUCCCCCUUCUUCAGUUUUCUCCGUCGGCUGCUCCUACCAUGGCGAAUGUUGACCCAGACCCGACACUUUUCCUCCCGCCUGCCCUUCAGCUCCAAGUGCCUUGGGCGCACAGUCUUGAACGCGCUGAUCUUGUUCUUCAAGAUGAUCCGCCGAAGCGAAACGAAGUUAGCCGUCAUCCUAUUGAGUUCCUUUAUAUCAGACUUGCUUCUGCUUUGCUCAGAGAUACUCUUAUUGCUAAUGGCCCUUACGUGGUUGAAGAUCAGUUUAUGCUCAGGUUUGUUCCUCAUGAUCUUACUUCGAGUUGCCGUAAUUCCCCCUUUACUAUGGAAGGAUGGGUGAUGUUUCUUGACUUCCCUCUUGAUUUUAAAACCCCGGCGAUCAUUGACAAGGCAGUUUCUCUCUUUGGGAAAGUAGUAAAAGUGCAGUUGGAUGAUCCUGUGAGGGGUAGACUAAUGGUGAAAGCUUUGUACUCAUCCACUCUGGAGGUUCCUAGAAAGAUUGUCUUUAAGAGAGCCGCUGCUUUUGGAGGGGUAGGCAGAUCCUGGACGGUUUCUGUUUUUCUUUGUCAUGGGGACCUGCCUAACAUUAUGCCAGCAGAUGAAGAUCUUCUGCCUGUAAAUCAUGUUCCAGAGCCAGAUUCUCUUCCUGAGCAUCCACCUGUUCAGCAUAAUGAAAUUCAGGGUGACAAUAUGCAUCUGGAUGUGCAUGAUGAGGCAGAGCAGUCUCAUUCUCACAGUGAAGUCUCUCAUUAUUCAGAUAUUGAAGCAAGCACCUCAAGCUCUGUUAUCUUUUUGGCCCAGGAAGAUGAAGCCCAAGUUGUUGAGAUGGUUGAGCCCAUUACUUGCAUUCCUCCUACCAGCUCUGAGAUUGAGUUGCCCCCUGAUCCUUUUUUUCAAAGUAGUUCAGCUAGUCUUCCUUCCCUCAAGAAGACCAGGAAAUCUAAAGUCAAGACAGUGGCUUUGUUAUGUGGGCUGAAGGAAAAUGAAGUCUCUGCUGAAGUGUUGACGUCCUCGGCUGUGCUGAGGAAAGGAAAAGCUACUUUGAACUCCUCUUAA
rnacentral:lncRNA from 1 species